rnacentral:rRNA from 1 species
UACGUAGGGUGCAAGGCGUUGUCCGGAAUUAUUGGGCGUAAAAGAGCUCGUAGGCGGUCUGUCGCGUCGGCUGUGAAAACUCGGGGCUCAACUCCGAGCUUGCAGUCGAUACGGGCAGGCUAGAGUUCGGCAGGGGAGACUGGAAUUCCUGGUGUAGCGGUGAAAUGCGCAGAUAUCAGGAGGAACACCGGUGGCGAAGGCGGGUCUCUGGGCCGAUACUGACGCUGAGGAGCGAAAGCGUGGGGAGCGAACAGG